rnacentral:rRNA from 1 species
AAGACCUUGUGCUUUUGGAGCGGCCGAUGCCUGAUUAGCUAGUUGGUAGGGUAAGGGCCUACCAAGGCUACGAUCAGUAGUUGGUCUGAGAGGACGACCAGCCACACUGGGACUGAGACACGGCCCAGACUCCUACGGGAGGCAGCAGUGGGGAAUUUUGGACAAUGGGCGAAAGCCUGAUCCAGCAAUGCCGCGUGAGUGAAGAAGGCCUUCGGGUUGUAAAGCUCUUUCAGUCGAGAAGAAGAAGUUGUGACUAAUAAUCACAAUUUAUGACGGUACCGACAGAAGAAGCACCGGCUAACUACGUGCCAGCAGCCGCGGUAAUACGUAGGGUGCAAGCGUUAAUCGGAAUUACUGGGCGUAAAGGGUGCGCAGGCGGCUCUGUAAGUCAGAUGUGAAAUCCCCGGGCUUAACCUGGGAAAUU